rnacentral:rRNA from 1 species
UACGUAGGGGGCAAGCGUUAUCCGGAAUUACUGGGUGUAAAGGGAGCGUAGACGGUAAUGUAAGUCUGGAGUGAAAGGCGGGGGCCCAACCCCCGGACUGCUCUGGAAACUAUGUUACUAGAGUGCAGGAGAGGUAAGCGGAAUUCCUAGUGUAGCGGUGAAAUGCGUAGAUAUUAGGAGGAACACCAGUGGCGAAGGCGGCUUACUGGACAGUAACUGACGUUGAGGCUCGAAAGCGUGGGGAGCAAACAGG